rnacentral:rRNA from 1 species
CCUACGGGGGGCAGCAGUGAGGAAUAUUGGUCAAUGGACGGAAGUCUGAACCAGCCAUGCCGCGUGCAGGAAGACGGCUCUAUGAGUUGUAAACUGCUUUUGUACAAGGGUAAACCUGAAUACGUGUAUUCAGCUGAAAGUACUGUACGAAUAAGGAUCGGCUAACUCAGUGCCAGCAGCCGCGGUAAUACGGAGGAUCCGAGCGUUAUCCGGAUUUAUUGGGUUUAAAGGGUGCGUAGGCGGAUUGAUAAGUUAGAGGUGAAAUGUCCGAGCUUAACUCGGGAACUGCCUCUAAUACUGUUGGUCUAGAGAGUAGAUGCGGUAGGCGGAAUGUAUGGUGUAGCGGUGAAAUGCUUAGAGAUCAUACAGAACACCGAUUGCGAAGGCAGCUUACCAAUCUAUAUCUGACGUUGAGGCACGAAAGCGUGGGGAGCAAACAGGAUUAGGUACCCGUGUAGUC